GUAGGUGGCAAGCGUUGUCCGGAAUUAUUGGGCGUAAAGCGCGCGCAGGCGGUUUCUUUAAGUCUGAUGUGAAAGCCCACGGCUCAACCGUGGAGGGUCAUUGGAAACUGGAGAACUUGAGUACAGAAGAGGAAAGCGGAAUUCCACGUGUAGCGGUGAAAUGCGUAGAGAUGUGGAGGAACACCAGUGGCGAAGGCGGCUUUCUGGUCUGUAACUGACGCUGAGGCGCGAAAGCGUGGGGAGCAAACAGGGAUUAGAUACCCUGGUAGUCCACGCCGUAAACGAUGAGUGCUAAGUGUUAGGGGGGUUUCCGCCCCCGUUAGUGCUGCAGCUAACGCAUUAAGCACUCCGCCUGGGGAUACGGCCGCAAGGCUG
rnacentral:rRNA from 1 species